CCCUUAGAUGUCCUGGGCCGCACGCGCGCUACACUGACGAAGGCAACGAGCUUUCCUUUACCGAAAGGUACGGGUAAUCUUUUGAAACUUCGUCGUGCUGGGGAUAGAUCCUUGCAAUUAUUGAUCUUAAACGAGGAAUUCCUAGUAAGCGCAAGUCAUCAACUUGCGUUGAUUACGUCCCUGCCCUUUGUACACACCGCCCGUCGCUCCUACCGAUUGAAUGCUCAGGUGAGCCAUUCGGACUUUCAUCAUGCUGGUUUCCAGUUUUGACGAAGGAAAGUCUUGCGAACCUUAUCAUUUAGAGGAAGGAGAAGUCGUAACA
rnacentral:rRNA from 1 species